GAGUGAACGCUGGCGGUAGGCCUAACACAUGCAAGUCGAACGGCAGCACAGUAAGAGCUUGCUCUUACGGGUGGCGAGUGGCGGACGGGUGAGGAAUACAUCGGAAUCUACUUUUUCGUGGGGGAUAACGUAGGGAAACUUACGCUAAUACCGCAUACGACCUACGGGUGAAAGCAGGGGAUCUUCGGACCUUGCGCGAUUGAAUGAGCCGAUGUCGGAUUAGCUAGUUGGCGGGGUAAAGGCCCACCAAGGCGACGAUCCGUAGCUGGUCUGAGAGGAUGAUCAGCCACACUGGAACUGAGACACGGUCCAGACUACUACGGGAGGCAGCAGUGGGGAAUAGUGGACAAUGGGCGCAAGCCUGAUCCAGCCAUACCGCGUGGGUGAAGAAGGCCGUCGGGUUGUAAAGCCCUUUUGUUGGGAAAGAAAAGCAGCAGGUUAAUACCCCGCUGUUCUGACGGUACCAAAAGAAUAAGCACCGGCUAACUUC
rnacentral:rRNA from 1 species